UCGUUGUACCUUCUUUCAAGUUUUUUAUUUUUGAUUUUUGUGAUUAUUCUUUGUUUAACGUAUGUCUCUUUUAUGAGAAAUAAUGUAACUGAAGUGAUAAUCAUGCAUAACGAACUCCACUUUUCAGAAAUUAUUGUGGAGAUUGAUUUAAUACUCCCAUCUGUUUGUGUUACAGGACUACUUUUCCCUUUCCAGGGCACGCCGUUCUGGCGCUGUAAUUUAGAUUUCAACUUACUAGUGGAGAACCUAAAACUAUUAGUUGGGUUGUGCUGUUGAUUCUUGUUGACGUUUCUUUGCAGAUACAGUUUCUGUGAAAAUUAUCCCUGGCUAUGUAUAUGUUUUGUUAACAUCCAAGAGCAUGUACAGUUGUUUGUCUUUUCAGAUUCUUUAAGGGCUCUUAAGUUAUAAGGGUUCCCAUAUUGGUUUUUUCAGUUCUUAAUAGGAGAAAUCAGAAACCUGAAUUCUGGUGUAGAAUUAUAUCACUUAAGUGCUCACAUACUUUUGAGAUUAGGGGGCUUGGAUAGUCUCUUUACACAUUAGUUUGGCCUUGACAAAAGUUAUUAAUAAAAUUUUCCGGUGGGCCAGCAGCAGGUUGGCUGCAAUUUAUCUUGAGUGGAUUCUUACAUUCAUUUAAGGUGC